AGAGUUUGAUCCUGGCUCAGGACGAACGCUGGCGGCGUGCUUAACACAUGCAAGUGGAGCGACGAACCGGGGCUUGCCCCGGGGCAGAGCCGCGAACGGGUGAGUAACACGUGGGUAACCCACCUCGAUGACCGGGACAACCCGAGGAAACUCGGGCUAAUACCGGAUGUGAUCCUCUUUCGUAAGGAAGAUGAUGAAAGAUAGCUUCGGCCUUCGCAUCGAGACGGGCCCGCGGCCCAUUAGCUUGUUGGUGGGGUAACGGCCUACCAAGGCUUCGAUGGGUAGCUGGUCUGAGAGGACGAUCAGCCACACUGGGACUGAGACACGGCCCAGACUCCUACGGGAGGCAGCAGUGGGGAAUCUUGCGCAAUGCGCGAAAGCGUGACGCAGCAACGCCGCGUGGGGGAAGACGGCCUUCGGGUUGUAAACCCCUUUCAGUUGGGACGAAGCUUCAACGGUUAAUAGCCGGCUGGAGUGACGGUACCUUCAGAAGAAGCCCCGGCUAACUACGUGCCAGCAGCCGCGGUAAUACGUAGGGGGCAAGCGUUGUCCGGAAUCAUUGGGCGUAAAGAGCGUGUAGGCGGUUCGAUAAGUCUGCUGUGAAAGUCCAGGGCUCAACCCUGGGAUGACGGUGGAUACUGUCGGGCUAGAGUACGGAAGAGGCGAGUGGAAUUCCCGGUGUAGCGGUGAAAUGCGCAGAUAUCGGGAGGAACACCUAUUGCGAAGGCAGCUCGCUGGGACGUCACUGACGCUGAGACGCGAAAGCGUGGGGAGCAAACAGGAUUAGAUACCCUCGUAGUCC
rnacentral:rRNA from 1 species